rnacentral:rRNA from 1 species
AACGAACGCUGGCGGCAUGCCUAACACAUGCAAGUCGAACGAACCCUUCGGGGUUAGUGGCGCACGGGUGCGUAACGCGUGGGAACCUACCAUCAGGUUCGGAAUAACAGUUAGAAAUGACUGCUAAUACCGGAUAAUGUCUUCGGACCAAAGAUUUAUCGCCUUUUGAUGGGCCCGCGUAAGAUUAGGUAGUUGGUGGGGUAAAAGCCUACCAAGCCGACGAUCUUUAGCUGGUCUGAGAGGAUGAUCAGCCACACUGGGACUGAGACACGGCCCAGACUCCUACGGGAGGCAGCAGUGGGGAAUAUUGCGCAAUGGAGGAAACUCUGACGCAGCCAUGCCGCGUGAAUGAAGAAGGCCUUAGGGUUGUAAAAUUCUUUCAGAUGCGAAGAUAAUGACGGUACCAUCAGAAGAAGCUCCGGCUAAAUUCGUG